rnacentral:rRNA from 1 species
CCUACGGGAGGCAGCAGUGAGGAAUAUUGGACAAUGGGCGCAAGCCUGAUCCAGCCAUGCCGCGUGCAGGAUGAAGCAUCUAUGGUGUGUAAACUGCUUUUGUACGAGAAGAAACACUCCGACGUGUCGGAGCUUGACGGUAUCGUAAGAAUAAGGAUCGGCUAACUCCGUGCCAGCAGCCGCGGUAAUACGGAGGAUCCAAGCGUUAUCCGGAAUCAUUGGGUUUAAAGGGUCCGUAGGCGGGCUUAUAAGUCAGUGGUGAAAUCUCCCGGCUCAACCGGGAAAUGGCCAUUGAUACUGUAGGUCUUGAAUUAUUAGGAAGUAACUAGAAUAUGUAGUGUAGCGGUGAAAUGCUUAGAGAUUACAUGGAAUACCAAUUGCGAAGGCAGGUUACUACUAAUUGAUUGACGCUGAUGACGAAGACGUGGUAGCGACGAGAUAGUAUACCUGUAGUCACGACCGUAACGAUAGAUACUAG